rnacentral:lncRNA from 1 species
UCCCAUCAAAAAGCAUCUUCCUUGUCAUGAUGUUAUGCUAUACAUAAACAAAAUCCACAGGCAAGCAGUAAGAGAUCAGCAUAUGAUAACAAGCACUUUCACAACCAAGAAAAUCGAAAAAAAUAAAACAAAGACCUAAUCGAAUGUAAAUCGAGAUAAACUAAUUGCACAAUUUUAUAAGCAAAAUGUUGUCAAUUUUGGAUAAAAGUAAAUAAGAACAACAAAUAUAAUAGUUUAAUCUUUCCUUCUCUUUUUUUUUAUCCAUGAUUGCUUAAACUUAGGAAAGAGGGGACAAAAAUAAGAUUACAACCAAUAUAAUAGUUUACUCUUUCCUUCUUUAUCGUAUGACCAAGUUGAUAGUUCUUCAUUUAACAUUCCACCAGCACACAAGAAACACCUAUCUAAAGUUUGGCAUUCAUUUAAAAAUUGGAAAUCGCAUAAGCCAUUACAAAUGCAUACCUAUAGAAACUAUUUUGUUGAUUCUCUUUUCUCCUUUCCAUUUGUGAGUUGGAACAAUCUCGUAUAGUUCCUUCAAGGCCUGCCAUAGUCAAUAGACCAUAUCAGAAAGGAAAAACAAUUGACUUUUUAAUCAAUUGAUUAACUAAUUUUGCAAAACCAACUUCGUCCUAUGGAGGAUAUUUACAAAUGGUCACAUUCGUAUGAACAAACAGCCUUAUAAAAACAAGAUAAAUAUUUUUAUGCAUACAUGUCAACGUAACUUUAUUUUACUAUAAAUAACUUAAGAAAAUUAAGCUUCCCAAGGGAUAACUAUCAAUUGGAAUUCAUUUUAGUGAAAGAUACUAACUAUAUGAUUGCAGUUUUUGAUAAAAGAUAAAGGAUUUGGGUAAAAUUAUCGCUUCAUAUAGAUAUUAGUUACUAGAGAAUUGAGAUUCAAUUGAUAUCGAAAAGAAAACAAUUGAUCAAGUCCUAUAGAAUAAACCAAACCCAAUGAGUAUAAAAACUUGAGAUCUUCCACCAACUCUGAGAAUUAAAAUGUACAUUAUAAUAAAAUUAUUGCAUCCUAUAAAUGAUAAAUCAAUAUUUAGGCGCAAAGAAUAUUAUAUAUGAUCAUUGAUCACUACAUUAUUCUGUACUUUUUUGCAUAGUGCCUAUGGAAUAGCAAUCUCCAUCUAAAGCAAUUAAUUAAUAAGAAGAAAUCAGAUAAAUAAACAGAAUAAACAAAUCUGACCAUUUACAGGAUUCAAUACUUUAAAAUAAUUUACAGGAUCCAAUAAGAAAUAUGUGAAUCGUGAAGCAAUUAAAUCAAUUAUUCAACUU